UGGUUGAUAUGUCCGAUUUGAAGGAUGGUGCUUUACGUGAAAUCGUUAUGGAUGAAAGUGUCUUCGGUAUUGAAUUCAAGUCACUUAUUACAAUUGAUGACUUGGAGGAGAUUUUUAAGCAUGAUCAACUAGGCGUCACUAACAUGCACUCAUACAUCCGGUUGUUGUAUGACAGAGUGUUGCGCGGGACUCCGUUGUCUAACAGAUUCCGUUUCGUGUCUUCCGCCCACUGCAGCGGAAUGGCAAUUGCUUCGGAACCGGAAUCAGUUAGACAGCGCUUAGUAGAUAGAUUCAUGUCCACCGGCAAUACAGAAAGUCUGCAUCUUUGGGCGUAUAAUACCCGACCAGUAGGAGCACACUGGUUGCUGCUUGCUAUCAACCCUAUAAGGGAAGUCGUGUAUUAUCUGAAUUCGGUAAAUGGUGAAUGGACCAAUUAUCCGGCCAUGAAGGACAUCGUUGAUUUGUAAGUGGGAUCGUUCUAAAUAUAUAUUCGUGUAUAUUUAUAUAUUUACUUAUUUGUGGGAUUGAUCUAAACAUAUGCUUUUAUAUAUUUGUUAAUUAGAUCAAUACAAGUGUUCCGAAGUCAACGGGACGCACAGGUAUCCCGAACUAAAUCUAACAACAUUACUUGGAUCCAAGUGCAGUGUCCGCAACAGCGAAACAGUUACGAUUGCGGAUACUUUGUUUUGAGGUAUAUGAAAGAAAUCCUUCAGGCGAAUCAAUUAGAGAUUCCGCUCACGUACCUUGACGAAUUCCGUGCUACUGCGUACCCGAAGCUUAAGUUGGAAGAAAUCAAAGAAGAUUUGUGUCAAUUUUAUAUUAAGCGCUUUUUCAUGUAGGAUUUGUG